UUAACCUGGCCUUGACAUACUAAGAACUUUCCAGAGAUGGAUUGGUGCCUUCGGGAACUUAGAUACAGGUGCUGCAUGGCUGUCGUCAGCUCGUGUCGUGAGAUGUUGGGUUAAGUCCCGCAACGAGCGCAACCCUUUUCCUUAUUGCCAGCGGGUUAAGCCGGGAACUUUAAGGAUACUGCCAGUGACAAACUGGAGGAAGGCGGGGACGACGUCAAGUCAUCAUGGCCCUUACGGCCAGGGCUACACACGUGCUACAAUGGUCGGUACAAAGGGUUGCUACCUCGCGAGAGGAUGCUAAUCUCAAAAAGCCGAUCGUAGUCCGGAUCGCAGUCUGCAACUCGACUGCGUGAAGUCGGAAUCGCUAGUAAUCGCGGAUCAGAAUGCCGCGGUGAAUACGUUCCCGGGCCUUGUACACACCGCCCGUCACACCAUGGGAGUUUGUUGCACCAGAAGUAGGUAGUCUAACCGCAAGGAGGACGCUUACCACGGUGUGGCCGAUGACUGGGGUGAAGUCGUAACAAGGUAAGCGUAGAUGA
rnacentral:rRNA from 1 species